rnacentral:misc_RNA from 1 species
GUGAAUCAUCAAAUUUUUGAACGCAAAUUGCACUCCCUGGUAUUCCGGGGAGUAUGCCUGUUUGAGGGUCGUUAGAAUAAAAAUCGACAUCGUUGCUGUUUCGCGGUGACGUUCGUCGGAAAUUGGGUCAUCUUAAACCUUUUGGUUUUUAAGCGACUUAAAAUUUUCUUUUGAUCCCAUGAACGUUUCUAAGAUUUAUAUCUUUACACGUUUAAGGGUAUCGAUUUUAUUAGACGUGGCCGUCAUAUCGGAUCGCGUCCAUAAUCUUUCAUUAACGGACCUCAGACAGGUAAGAGUACC